CCCUGGUGGCUCAGUUGGUAAAGAAUCUGCCUGGAAUGCAAGAGACCCAGGUUCGAUCCCUGGAUCAGGAA
rnacentral:tRNA from 1 species